CUUCAAACGGUCUAAACGAGAACUAGACAGUUGUCAUAUGAUCGGGUAGAAAAUGUUUCAAACUGGGGAUAAUUGGAUAUCAGAUUAUAGCAUUUGUGAAGCAGAAGCAAGAGAUAUUAUUGAGAAGAUUGUUUUGUGCAACCAACAAAAAAGAAAUAGUUCAAAACAUGUUCAGUUAACAGGAAAAAUAAGGCAGCUGAUGAAAAAAUUUACUGAUCAUAUUAGUAAUUUAAAUGAAUCUCUUAGACAAGCUUCAAAUUCCAAUUUAAU